UGGGGAAUAUUGGACAAUGGGGGGAACCCUGAUCCAGCCAUGCCGCGUGUGUGAAGAAGGCCUUUUGGUUGUAAAGCACUUUAAGCGAGGAGGAGGGUACUGGUAUUAAUACUACCAGCUACUGGACGUAACUCGCAGAAUAAGCACCGGCUAACUCUGUGCCAGCAGCCGCGGUAAUACAGAGGGUGCGAGCGUUAAUCGGAUUUACUGGGCGUAAAGCGUGCGUAGGCGGCUAAUUGAGUCGGAUGUGAAAUCCCCGGGCUUAACUUGGGAAUUGCAUUCGAUACUGGUUAGCUAGAGUGUGGGAGAGGAUGGUAGAAUUCCAGGUGUAGCGGUGAAAUGCGUAGAGAUCUGGAGGAAUACCGAUAGCGAAGGCAGCCAUCUGGCCUAACACUGACGCUGAGGUACGAAAGCAUGGGGAGCAAACAGG
rnacentral:rRNA from 1 species